rnacentral:lncRNA from 1 species
CUAGCUAGAUCCUCACAUUUGGUAGGCUUCUGCACACCAAAAUGGAGAAGAGAGAAAAAGCUCACUGUCUGGUCUUGUUCUAUCCAAGCCAAGGCCACAUUAAUCCAUUGCUCCAAUUCUCCAAGCGUUUAGAGCACAAAGGACUCAAAGUCACAUUUAUCACUACCCGCUCUGUUCUCAAGGCCAUGCAUGGAGGAGGAGGAGGAGGACAAUCACCAUCAUCAUUCUCUUCAAUUGCAUUGGAGACCAUUUCUGAUGGCUAUGAUGAAGGAGGAGCUUCCCAAGCAGAGAGCAUCGAGGCUUACUUGGACCGUUUUCGGGAAAUAGGUUCACAGACUUUAGCUGAGCUCAUUGAGGAAAUUUCUGGCUCAGGCCACCCUGCUGAUUGUCUAGUUUAUGAUUCAUGUAUGUCUUGGGCUCUUGAUGUGGCCAAAAGGGUUGGGAUUGCUGGGGCUGCUUUCUUCACCUUUUCUUGUGCUGUUACCAAUAUAUACUCUCUUGUCCAAAAUGGGCUGCUCAAAGUUCCUCUCAAUCCAGGCUCUGAGAUUUUGCUGCCAGGAUUACCACCUCUUCAACCUUCAGACACCCCAUCUUUCGUCUAUGUUUCUGGAUCGUACCCAGCUUUCUUUAAACUGAUUCUGGACCAGUUCUCUAAUCUUGACAAAGCUGAUUGGGUCUUGUGCAACACAUUUCAUGAGCUGGAACAAGAGGUAAACAAAAUUACUGAUAAGGAGGUAUAAGUGUAGUAGGGUUGUGCAUAUGUAGUGAUCAACAUCAUAAAUUGAGGUGGUUUUCAUGGUUUUCUGUUCCAAUUGAAUUCAUUCCUCUGUCCACGAAAUUAAAUAUCUCUCACUGUAUGCAUCACUAAUCAAGGGCUAUGACCAGCUUAUGAAUUUUUUUAAGUCUCUCACUUUGACCUUAUGAUUCAACUUCUCAGAUAACACCUACUUUCUUUUGUUUUCUUUUUCUCAUUUUAUGCAUAGGCGGUGGAUUGGAUGGCAAAGUUUUGGCCAUUGAGGACGAUUGGACCAACCAUACCAUCUAUGUACAUGGAUAAGCGUCAUGAAGACAACUGGGAGUAUGGUCUCAGCCUCUUAAAGCCAAACAGUGAUGCUUGCAUGAAAUGGUUAAAUGUGAAGCCAAAAGGGUCUGUAGCAUACGUUUCGUUUGGCAGUGUGGCAGAAAUUGGAGAAGAGCAAAUGGAGGAAUUGGGUUUGGGUUUAAGGAGAAGCAAAAGCUAUUUCUUGUGGGUGGUUAGGGAAAAAGAAGCAGCCAAGCUGCCAAAAGGGUUUGUGGAGGAGACAUCUGAGAAGGGCUUGGUGGUUUCAUGGUGCCCUCAAUUGGAAGUUUUGGCACAUAAGGCUGUAGGAUGCUUUGUCACACAUUGUGGCUGGAACUCUACUUUGGAGGGCUUGAGUUUGGGAGUUCCAAUGGUGGCAGUGCCACAAUGGACUGACCAAAGCACCAAUGCCAGGUUCAUCAUGGAUGUUUGGAAAACAGGGCUUAAAGCUCAAGCUGACAAGAAAGGGAUAGUGAGAGGAGAAGAAAUAACACAUUGCCUGAGAGAAAUAUUGGAUGGGGAGAGAGGAAAGGAGAUUCGAAAGAACACUUCAAAGUGGAAAGCAUUGGCCAAGAAUGCAGUGGAUGAAGGUGGAAGUUCUGAUAAAAACAUUGAUGAGUUCAUUGCAAAACUGGUUCAGAGUUAGGCUAGGCAAAGCUGCAAAAUUGCCGAGUACAAGUCCUCAUAUUGAAAAUAAAAGUGAGGCUAUAUAAUGUAACAGACUCUGUGAUUCUAAUAAACGGUUCAAAAAGAAGAAAUCUUCUGCAAACAAUUUUGUUACCUUCUGCGUGUGCAUAUAUAUCACCUUUGCAAUGACUCAUGUUACAGGUUUCUCAAUCGCAAAAAUUGCCUGAGAAGCUGUUAGAUGAGAGGUCAAGGUACAUAACGAAGGAAAGGAUGUUUAUUGAUGAUAUCAGUAGGAAGGUGUCCGCUUAGCUUGUUGCCUGAAAGAUAUAGGACUGCUUGUGCAGUUAAGCUAAGCCCUGAGGAAACUGGCCUUUUAGUCCCAAAUCCGAAAGACAGACUUUUCUUUCAUGCUCGUUCCAACACUCGAUUCCCAGAAAGUGACAGAUAAAACCUUCAUUAGUGUUGUUGCUGAAAUCCCAUUAAGAAUUUAAGUAGCCUUGCUACUCUCGACACCGAAGCUGAAACUACAACAAAAAAGCAGUAACCAGAGGACACUGUCAGUAAAAAUGCCAGCAUCUUGUUUACUCAACAACGUAUGCAUCAAGAAAGCCAUCAAAAUGGGCUUGAAAGAGACGUGCUAUUUAAUUAAUGAAAGCCAAAUGAGCAGUGAUAAAUAUAUUAUACUGAACCCAGAGAAGGGGUUAAACAAUCAACGACAAACUAUUUAAUGUAGUUGGAAAGAAAAAGUUGAGAGAUAUAUAAAAGACUCACACGGUCAACAACACAUAAAUUAAAAAUGCAAGAGUGAAAGUGAACGUGAGGUAAGGAAAUGAGCUCAUUGAACAAGUUAAUGAAAUGGAAAGAAGGUUAAAAGAAAUAGGAAGAGAUAGGAAAGAUUACAAGAUAUUUGUUGCAAUGAGUAGUGAGAAGAUCAGCAGUUAUCUACAUUUUUGGCAAUAAUUACGGGUCAUGUUAGGUAGAUCGCAUGAUUUGAUGACAUUGUAAAUUACGUCUCUAAUAGGGAUGGAGCCCACUAUUACAAUGGGUCUUACCUCUACUAAAAAGGUGGUUUACAAAAUAGUCUACAGAUGUGGUCUCCUUAGCAUUUUCCAUAUUACUAUGUAGGAUUGUUGUGAUUGUUGUGGGUGUGUUUGAGUCAUUUGUGGGUGAGCAAUUCUGCUGGAAUUGGGUUUAUUGUUAUCACUCAUCAGGCCCAUUUGGAGGCCAUUCCUUUAGUCAAAAGCUAAGCGACGACUUGGACUGCUAACUAUUGACUAUCCAGAGUGCUUGACUGCCCUCUGUUUCCAUCUUCUUUUAAAACCUUUUUUAAGUUCCAGUUCUUGUGUUACAAUUUAAUUCAUGUUUUGUCCUUUGGGAAUUUGUCCAAAGCAUCUGCAAGAGGAAGCUCGGACUAAGUCGACCCACAAAAAUAAAAAAAAUAAAAAAUAAGUAUUAGACACAACAAUUCUUACUAAUUAGAAUUUGAGACAUAAUUUUUAUUUGGGUUUUAAUACUUACGAAUCAAAUUUUGUUUUAAAUUUGGUCAAAAAGGAGACCUAGAUUCAUUGAGUUUGUCUAAAUUAGAAAAGUAAAAUACUGUUUUACCUUUUUUGUUUAAAAGUCUGGCCAAAAUUAGAUCUUACCAUUUCUCUCUCUCGACCAGGGCAGCCACAUUUCCAAUUUCACAAACAUGGCACGAUUUGCAAAUAUUGUGGUACUAAAUUUUCAUAAAUAAAUUAUUAUAGUGUUUUUAAUUUUCUUUCAUUACUUACUAUAUAUUUUCUAAACUCACAGUAUUUGACAAGCUCGUUAUAUAAUCAAUUUAAAUCACUCAAACCCACAAUGCAAUAUAUUUCCUUCCAAUUUUUUGUAAUAAAAUCAUAGAGAAUUGAUUAAAUAAACAUCCUCUAAAGUUUCAAUAAAAAUUUCCAAGUUUUCCCACAAUUUUCAUGAUUUUUAUACAAUUUUUACCAAUAUCGAUAUUUUUCAGAUAUUUUCAUCAAAAUUUUCAUGUUUUUAAACCACCGAUAUUUCCAAAACUCCCGAUAUUUUAGACCUUAGGCAAGACCAAUCAUGUGCAUAAUUUUCAAGGGGACAAUUGUGCUAUCAUACCUUCUUUUCUUUUUUUGUUUUGGAAAGAGACUAUUUCAUUCAAGACCAACAUAAGCCAAAGAUUACAGAAUAAGAUAAGACCCCAACAGUCAACUUGAAUUAAAACCAAUCAGGCAACUUGAACAAGGGUUGUGCGCUUUCAUACUUUGUUUCACCCAUAUAUGUGUGUUCGGAUAUACUGAGCGAAGUAAAACCAAUCAGUCAACUUGAAUAAGGGGGCCAAACGAGACAUUUAAAACCACACAAAUGGUCUCCAAUUUUGGCAUAUGCCAAGGUUUUUGAGCAGAGACAGUCUCUACUAAUAAAUAUUCAUUUAUAUUAUAAUAUGUGUAAAGUUCAUUGGCUGGUUUAUUUUGCUCUUCAAUUUUCACUAUAAAUCUUGCAAAUGUGGUUGGCUUCUGCACAACAAAAUGGAGAAGACAGAAAAAGCUCACUGUCUGGUCUUCUUCUGUCCAAUCCAAGGCCACAUUAAUCCCAUGCUCCAAUUCUCCAAGCGUUUAGAGCACAAAGGACUCAAAGUCACAUUGAUCACUACCCGCUCUGUUCACAAGGCCAUGCAUGAAGGAGGAGGAGAACAAUCUACAACAUCAUUCUCUUCCAUUGCAUUGGAGACCAUUUCUGAUGGCUUUGAUGGAGAAGGUGGGAGUGCCCAAGCAGAGAGCAUCCAGGCCUACAGGGACCGUGUUCGGGAAAUCGGCUCACAGACUUUGGCUGAGCUCAUUGACAAGCUCUCUGCCUCAGGCCACCCUGCGGAUUGUCUAGUUUAUGAUCCAGUUUUUCCUUGGGCUCUUGAUGUGGCCAAAAGGGUUGGGAUUGCUGCGGCUGCUUUCUUCACUGUAUCUUGUGCUGUUACCAACAUAUACUCACUUGUCCAUAAUGGGCUGCUCAAACUUCCUCUCAAUCCUGACUCUGAGAUUUUGCUGCCUGGAUUGCCACCUCUUCAACCUUCAGACACCCCAUCUUUCAUCUAUGUUCCUGAAUCUUACCCUGAUUUCCUUAAACUGUCUGUAGAUCUGUUCUCUAAUCUUUGCAAAGCUGAUUGGGUCUUCUGCAACACAUUUUAUGAGCUGGAACAAGAGGUAAACAAAAUUGAUGAGGUGGUUUUCGGUUCCAAAUUAAUUCAUUCUCUUGAAAGUUGACGCGCACAACACUGCUAGAGUCACCAAAUUUGUUCACCAAAUUAUGAUUCAACUUGAUGUUUUAUUUUUCUCUCCUUUUACGCAUAGGUGAUAGAAUAUUGGACGACAAAGUUUUGGACAUUCAGGACGAUUGGACCAACCAUACCAUCUAUGUACCUGGAUAAGCGUCAUGAAGACAACAAGGAAUAUGGUCUCAGCCUCUUAAAGCUAAAAAGUGAUGCCUGCAUGAAAUGGUUAAAUGCAAAGCCAAAAGGGUCUGUAGCAUACAUGUCGUUCGGCAGUAUGGCAGAACAGGGAGAAGAGCAAAUGGAGGAAUUGGGUUUGGGUUUGAAGAGAAGCAAACGCUAUUUCUUGUGGGUGGUGAGGACAUCAGAAUCAGUUAAGCUGCCAAAAGGGUUUGCAGAGGAGACAUCUGAGAAGGGUUUGGUGGUUUCAUGGUGCCCUCAAUUGGAAGUUUUGGCACAUGAGGCUGUAGGAUGCUUUGUCACACACUGUGGUUGGAACUCUACAUUGGAGGCCUUGAGUUUGGGAGUUCCAAUGGUGGCAGUGCCACAAUGGGCUGACCAGAGCACCAAUGCCAAGUUCAUCAUGGAUGUGUGGAAAAUAGGGCUUAAAGCUCAAGCUGAUGAGAAAGGGAUAGUGAGAGGAGAAGAAAUAGCAAAUUGUGUGAGAGAAAUAUUGGAUGGGGAGAGAGGGAAGGAGAUUCGAAAGAACGCUUCGAAUUGGAAAGCAUUGGCCAAGAGUGCAGUGGAUGAAGGUGGAAGUUCUGAUAAAAACAUUGAUGAGUUCAUUGCAAAACUGGUUCAGAAUUAGAACUAGCUAGGCAAAGCUGUGGUGUAUUUCUGAAAAAAAUUCCUUGUACAAGUCCUCUUGUCGAAAAUGUUAUUAGGGACUGAUUAAUAAUUUCCAUGACUAAUCAUUUUUAAACGUCACAAAUUCGUGUCUUCACUAUUUUGAUUUUAUGAAAUAUGAAAAGUAAAUUAUAAUGAAUACGAAAACUUUAUGAUUAGAAAAGUUUAGGGACCCACAAAGACUAAAUUAUGUGCAUACUUUUCAAGGGGACAAUUGUGCUAUCAUACUUUGUUUCUCACCACACAUGCGUGUUGUUAACAUAUCAACCCCAGCCCAUCAGUACUUAACCAAACCCAAGAUAGACAACCUAGCUCACCCCAUUUUGAGGAGCAAUCGCUACAAUAUUCUAGAAGCACCACAAGUGCAAACAACAAAGUGAUAAUAUCGAUUACCACUAGAAAUAUCUAGAAUAAAGGAUAUAUGUAGAUAAGUCUAGGAGAACAUAAAAGCCCAAGUCGGUGAAGUGGAAAAGUACGUCAGCAGCUAAGCUUGGAGAUUUGUCUGGAAGAUAAACAAUUUUGUGACCCAUAUUCCUUGGUGUCAAUCAAGAAGUGAAGAGAGUGUCAAUAAGAAGAGUGAGCAAUAAUUUAUAGAGUCCUUGUGAGAAGUGUGAGUUUGUCUCUAGAAGUGAGAAAGAGUGCUUGUAUGAGUUGGUCUUCUUUGAGAGUUGUCUUGUCGUAAUUUUUUAUGAGUAUAAUACAAGUCAAUUGUUCACUUAUUUUGUCUCUAAAAAAUCUAUAUCACCAUAUUAGAGUUGCGUAUUCUAAUUUUCUUAACACGUGUUUGGUUAUAUUGAGCAAAAGUAAAACCAAUCAAUCAACUUGAAAGAAGGGCUCUCCCCUUUUUAGACUUAAUUUAGUUUCGUAAAAUAUAAAAGGAGAAAAGGCUGGCUAGGCGAAGCACUGGUGUAUUUCUGAAAAAUUGCCUAGCUAUAGCACAAGUCCUCUGGUGGAAAAUAAAACUGAUAGGCUAUGUAAUGCAGUAGACUCAACUCAAAUUGUGUAAUUUGAUGCAUCUCUAUAAUUUAUUUGUGCUUUUUUUUGCAAUAGAAUGCAUGUUUUGUCCUUUGGGAGUUUGUCCAAAGUAUCAGCAAGAGGAAAAAGGCCGAAACGUCUAUAAAAGUAAAUAAAAAUUUGAGCAAAGCAAUUUUUGUCAUGAUUCAUGUUAAGGAACACCCUCAUGUCCUCAUUAGAUACAAGGCCUUAAGUUAAGAUCAACUUCGAAUAUAAUACAUGCAAUUUUGUUUUCUUCAUAAUACAUGCAAUUGUGCUAUCAUACUUUGUUUCACCACAAGUUCAGGAAGAUUGCUAGUCAAGCUUAAGCACGUUCAGAUAGUUACUUAUUUUGUUGACUUAAAAAAGAUAAUUACUUAUUUGGCAUACCAUCCCUUGGUUGGAGAUGCUCUAAGCCACUAAAACAAGUGGCCCACGCGAGAAAUUUAAAACCCACACAAAUGGACUCCAAUUUUGGCAUAUACCAAGGUUUUUGAUUGGGGACAGCAGCCUCUACUAAUCUUGCAAAUGUGGUUGGCUUCUGCACAACAAAAUGGAGAAGAAAGAAAAAGCUCACUGCCUGGUUUUGUUCUAUCCAAUCCAAGGCCACAUUAAUCCCAUGCUCCAAUUCUCCAAGCGUUUACAGCACAAAGGAGUCAAAGUUACAUUGGUCACUACCCGCUCUGUUCACAAGGCCAUGCAUGGAGAUGGAGGUGGAAAAUCACCAUCAUCAUUUUCUUCCAUUGCAUUGGAGACCAUUUCUGAUGGGUUUGAUGGAGAAGGUGGGAGUUCCCAAGCAGAGAGCAUCCAGGCCUACUGGGACCGUUUUCGGGAAAUCGGCUCACAGACUUUGGCUGAGCUCAUUGACAAGCUCUCUGCCUCAGGCCACCCUGCUGAUUGUUUAGUUUAUGAUCAAAUUUUGCCUUGGGCUCUUGAUGUGGCCAAAAGGGUUGGGAUUGCUGGGGCCCCUUUCUUCACUGUAUCUUGUGCUGUUACCAACAUAUACUCUCUUGUCCAUAAUGGGCUGCUCAAACUUCCUCUCAAUCCUGACUCUGAGAUUUUGCUGCCUGGAUUGCCAACUCUUCAACCUUCAGACACCCCAUCUUUCGU